rnacentral:rRNA from 1 species
GAUGAACGCUGGCGGCGUGCCUAAUACAUGCCAGUCGAGCGAACGGACGAGAAGCUUGCUUCUCUGAUGUUAGCGGCGGACGGGUGAGUAACACGUGGAUAACCUACCUAUAAGACUGGGAUAACUUCGGGAAGCCGGAGCUAAUACCGGAUAAUAUUUUGAACCGCGUGGUUCAAAAGUGAAAGACGGUCUUGCUGUCACUUAUAGAUGGAUCCGCGCUGCAUUAGCUAGUUGGUAAGGUAACGGCUUACCAAGGCAACGAUGCAUAGCCGACCUGAGAGGGUGAUCGGCCACACUGGAACUGAGACACGGUCCAGACUCCUACGGGAGGCAGCAGUAGGGAAUCUUCCGCAAUGGGCGAAAGCCUGACGGAGCAACGCCGCGUGAGUGAUGAAGGUCUUCGGAUCGUAAAACUCUGUUAUUAGGGAAGAACAUAUGUGUAAGUAACUGUGCACAUCUUGACGGUACCUAAUCAGAAAGCCACGGCUAACUACGUG